AUACGGAGGGGACUAGCGUUGUUCGGAAUUACUGGGCGUAAAGAGUUCGUAGGCGGACUGAUAAGUAAGAGGUGAAAUCCCAGGGCUCAACCCUGGAACUGCCUUUUAAACUGUCAGUCUAGAGACCGGAAGAGGUUAGGGGAAUACCUAGUGUAGAGGUGAAAUUCGUAGAUAUUAGGUGGAACACCAGUGGCGAAGGCGCCUAACUGGUCCGGUACUGACGCUGAGGAACGAAAGCGUGGGGAGCAAACAGGAUUAGAAACCCCAGUAGUCC
rnacentral:rRNA from 1 species